rnacentral:rRNA from 1 species
CGAGCGGAUGACGGGAGCUUGCUCCUUGAUUCGCGGCGGACGGGUGAGUAAUGCCUAGGAAUCUGCCUGGUAGUGGGGGACAACGUUUCGAAAGGAACGCUAAUACCGCAUACGUCCUACGGGAGAAAGCAGGGGACCUUCGGGCCUUGCGCUAUCAGAUGAGCCUAGGUCGGAUUAGCUAGUUGGUGAGGUAAUGGCUCACCAAGGCGACGAUCCGUAACUGGUCUGAGAGGAUGAUCAGUCACACUGGAACUGAGACACGGUCCAGACUCCUACGGGAGGCAGCAGUGGGGAAUAUUGGACAAUGGGCGAAAGCCUGAUCCAGCCAUGCCGCGUGUGUGAAGAAGGUCUUCGGAUUGUAAAGCACUUUAAGUUGGGAGGAAGGGCAGUAAGUUAAUACCUUGCUGUUUUGACGUUACCGACAGAAUAAGCACCGGCUAACUCUGUGCCAGCAGCCGCGGUAAUACAGAGGGUGCAAGCGUUAAUCGGAAUUACUGGGCGUAAAGCGCGCGUAGGUGGUUCGUUAAGUUGGAUGUGAAAGCCCCGGGCUCAACCUGGGAACUGCAUCCAAAACUGGCGAGCUAGAGUACGGUAGAGGGUGGUGGAAUUUCCUGUGUAGCGGUGAAAUGCGUAGAUAUAGGAAGGA